ACGGGGAGGAAAGAACCAACAGGGAUUGCCCCAGUAACGGCGAGUGAAGCGGCAACAGCUCAAAUUUGAAAUCUGGCUCCUAGAGCCCGAGUUGUAAUUUGUAGAGGAUGCUUUUGAUGCGGUGCCUUCCGAGUUCCCUGGAACGGGACGCCAUAGAGGGUGAGAGCCCCGUCUGGUCGGAUGCCAAAUCUCUGUAAAGCUCCUUCGACGAGUCGAGUAGUUUGGGAAUGCUGCUCAAAAUGGGAGGUAUAUGUCUUCUAAAGCUAAAUAUUGGCCAGAGACCGAUAGCGCACAAGUAGAGUGAUCGAAAGAUGAAAAGCACUUUGAAAAGAGGGUUAAAUAGUACGUGAAAUUGUUGAAAGGGAAGCGCCUAUGACCAGACUUGGGCCCGGUGAAUCAUCCAGCGUUCUCGCUGGUGCACUUUGCCGGGCACAGGCCAGCAUCAGUUUGUCUUGGGGGAAAAAGGCUUUGGGAACGUGGCUCCUUCGGGAGUGUUAUAGACCAUUGCAUAAUACCCUGGGACGGACUGAGGUUCGCGCAUCUGCAAGGAUGCUGGCGUAAUGGUCAUCAGCGACCCGUCUUGAAACACGGACCAAGGAGUCGUCUUCGUAUGCGAGUGUUCGGGUGUAAAACCCCUACGCGUAAUGAAAGUGAACGCAGGUGAGAGCUUCGGCGCAUCAUCGACCGAUCCUGAUGUUCUCGGAUGGAUUUGAGUAAGAGCAUACGGGGCCGGACCCGAAAGAAGGUGAACUAUUCCUGUAUAGGGUGAAGCCAGAGGAAACUCUGGUGGAGGCUCGCAGCGGUUCUGACGUGCGAAUCGAUCGUCAAAUAUGGGAAUGGGGGCGAAAGACUAAUCGAACCUUCUAGUAGCUGGUUUCCGCCGAAGUUUCCCUCAGGAAA
rnacentral:rRNA from 1 species